GGCAGGCUCGUGCGGACGAGAGCAGGGUGUUUUGAGAGAGAGCGAGAAGGGAAAACGAGAGAGAGAGAAAUUGAAGUUAGAGCAUAACGUAAAAGAAAGACGAUUCAAGGAGAGCGAAAAAGGUUGGUUGAAAAUGAAAUGAAGACCAAAAUUACGCUCUCUAGACUCAGUUUUGCGUAUCAAGUAUGAGCUCGACGGGCUGCUUUCAAACAUGUUUGAAAACGUUUGGUUGGCUGGUUUUCACUUUCCCCCUCCGACGCACGACGAAAUCAAGGAAAAACCAGGAAAAACACCGACGACAUCCAAUGAGACAAUCAAUAAGGAUGUACAGUCUUAAUCACAGUUUUUUCCUUUCCUUUAUGUUGGCAUUGUUUUUCUAUGAAAACCGUUUGUAGUCGGUUCGAAACAAAAUAUUGCAUAUUUUCAUCCCAACGUGUUGCGACUCGACUUGGCUGCGUUCGACCUGCCUGCUUCCCCUCCAACAUGUUCGUCUGCGUUGCGUGCUUUGGUCGACAGAGCUGUUUUAUGUGUGUGUGUGCAAAAACCGGCAAAAAAGUAAACAUGUGCAGGGUUGUCGAGUGGCUCAAAGUGGGGAGCGAAGCGCGCUCAGCUCACUUUUGCUUUCCAUCGUUAAUCUGUUAAUUCGGUAGGGAAUGAGAAUGAUUCUACCCAAAUAACUGUUCCAGGUCUCAAACGUAUGUAUACAUAUUUGUCCCUCUCCAUACAAGUUGUACAUAAUCCCGUAUGUGUGCAAAAACACACACACUUUUGCACACUCACACAAUGCCGAACGAAUGUCGACAAUAAAAGAGGCAUUAAAAAAUACCCAAACAACAGCAAAGACAAAACGAAGAGGAGUCGGAAAGCAGGAAAACAGAAAACAGGCCACCUCGAAGCGGGAUCACCCUACACACUCUUUGAAAUUAUU